UACAGAGGUCUCAAGCGUUGUUCGGAUUCAUUGGGCGUAAAGGGUGUGUAGGUGGCGCCGUUAGUCGGGUGUGAAAUUUCGGAGCUUAACUCCGAAACUGCAUUCGAUACUGCGGUGCUUGAGGACUGGAGAGGGACUGGAAUUCAUGGUGUAGCAGUGAAAUGCGUAGAGAUCAUGAGGAAGACCAGUGGCGAAGGCGGGUCUCUGGACAGUUCCUGACACUGAGACACGAAGGCCAGGGGAGCAAACGGG
rnacentral:rRNA from 1 species